CGGACGGGUGAGUAACGCGUGGAAAACCUGCCGUAUACUGGGGGAUAACACUUAGAAAUAGGUGCUAAUACCGCAUAAGCGCACAGCUUCGCAUGAAGCGGUGUGAAAAACUCCGGUGGUAUGAGAUGGACCCGCGUCUGAUUAGCUAGUUGGUGGGGUAAAGGCCUACCAAGGCGACGAUCAGUAGCCGACCUGAGAGGGUGAUCGGCCACAUUGGGACUGAGACACGGCCCAAACUCCUACGGGAGGCAGCAG
rnacentral:rRNA from 1 species